rnacentral:tRNA from 1 species
GCGGACGUGGCGGAACCGGUAGACGCAGCGGACUUAAAAUCCGCAGGCCCUGGCCAUGGGGGUUCGAGUCCCCCCGUCCGCACCA